rnacentral:rRNA from 1 species
UACACUCCUACGGGAGGCAGCAGUGGGGAAUUUUGGACAAUGGGCGAAAGCCUGAUCCAGCAAUGCCGCGUGCAGGAUGAAGGCCUUCGGGUUGUAAACUGCUUUUGUACGGAACGAAAAAGCUCCUUCUAAUACAGGGGGCCCAUGACGGUACCGUAAGAAUAAGCACCGGCUAACUACGUGCCAGCAGCCGCGGUAAUACGUAGGGUGCGAGCGUUAAUCGGAAUUACUGGGCGUAAAGCGUGCGCAGGCGGUUAUGUAAGGCAGAUGUGAAAUCCCCGGGCUCAACCUGGGAACUGCAUUUGUGACUGCAUGGCUAGAGUACGGUAGAGGGGGAUGGAAUUCCGCGUGUAGCAGUGAAAUGCGUAGAUAUGCGGAGGAACACCGAUGGCGAAGGCAAUCCCCUGGACCUGUACUGACGCUCAUGCACGAAAGCGUGGGGAGCAAACAGGAUUAGAUACCCCGGUAGUCCCA